UGUCGCCUGCCUGGGGGGCCGGAGCCCGGUGGAUCGGCCAGGGCGCGGCUCCUGGAGGGCUGGUGUGGAAGGAGAAGUGCGCGCUCCUGCGUGUUCCUUCCACCUGCAGGGAUUCUGGAAUGACAACCUGAUUACUACACAGUGGCUGCAGGGACAAAGCCUGGCGCCUUCAGGACAAAACAGUGCUAUCCCACAGACCACUUGCUGUGUGAGAUGAGAAGACUGCCAACUAAAGACUAAGCUGCAAUCAGCCCUGUUAGAUUGGAGGAAUCAGACUUCCUAACAUGGAGUUUGAGGUGGGGGGAGCAUUGGCAUGCAGUCCUCUUUGCCAAAGUCUCAUUAGUAAUUCCACUAGGCUUUAAGUGCCUUGAGGACAAGAAUCAUAUUUAUUAGGGUGAUCAGCAUAUCGUCAGGCUGGCACAGUGCCUGACAUAGCAAGGACUGAAUGAAUAAACCUCUCCUCCCUUCA